AUGCUUCAUCCUAAAUAUUCACUAGAGCCAUUUGAUCCAGAAAUUGAAAGGACUUUAUUGAGAAGAAGAAGAGAGAAUCAAACACGGUUUGAAGUUGCUGAAUCUUUGCAAGAUCAAGAAGAAGAAAAGAUGUCUGAUCAAGUACCUUUGCUCAGGGACUUGUGGAUCCCAAGAGAUCAUGGGAUACCAGGAGAAAUGGUGCAACCAAUUAUUCAGGCGAACAAUUUUGAAUUGAAGCCUGCUCUGAUUAACAUGGUACAACAGUCCAGAUUUGGUGGAACAGCUUUAGAAGACCCACAUGAGCAUAUAAGGACUUUCUUGGAGUAUUGUAACACCCUCAAGCAAAAUGGAGUUUCACCGAGUGCUAUCAGACUAUCACUAUUUCCAUUUUCCUUGAGAGAUGGAGCAAGAGUAUGGCUUCAUUCAUUGCCUGAACAUCUGAAGGAUACUUGGGAGACUUUAUUGUAG
rnacentral:rRNA from 1 species